rnacentral:tRNA from 1 species
GGCCGCCUAGCUCAGUCGGUAGAGCGCCAAGGCUCUUAACCUUGUGGUCCUGGGUUCAAGUCCCAGGGUGGGCG